GUUGUGUGUUGUAAGGGCGCAUGGUGGAUGCCUUGGCAUGCUAAGCCGAUGAAGGACGUGGAAGGCUGCGUUAUGCCUCGGGGAGUUGUCAAUCGAGCGUUGAUCCGAGGAUGUCCGAAUGGGGAAACCCGGCUGUGGUUAUUCGCAGUCACCUGCUGGUGAAUAUAUAGCUAGUAUGGGGGUUACGCGGGGAAGUGAAACAUCUCAGUACCCGUAGGAGAAGGAAACAAUAUGUGAUUUCGUGAGUAGCGGCGAGCGAAAGCGAAUGGUGGCUAAACCGUAUGUGUGUGAUACUUGGUAGAGGUUGCAUGUGCGGGGUUGUUGGGAGCGAUUGUAUGACUACUACCAUGGUUGUGCUGAUGUGCGCGUGUUAGGUGAAGUGGUUUGGAAUGGCCCACCGGAGUGGGUGAGAGUCCUGUAGCUGAAGGCAUGUGUGUGUUGGUUGAUUGUUUCCCGAGUAGCGGCGGGCUCGUGGAAUCUGCCGUGAAUCUGCCGGGACCACCCGGUAAGCCUAAAUACUUAGUGUGACCGAUAGCGGAUAGUACCGUGAGGGAAUGGUGAAAAGUACCCCGGGAGGGGAGUGAAAUAGUUCCUGAAACCAUGUGCUUACAAUCCGUCAGAGCACCUUUUGUUGUGUGAUGGCGUGCCUUUUGAAGAAUGAGCCUGCGAGUCAGCGGCAUGUCGCGAGGUUAACCCGUGUGGGGUAGUCGUAGCGAAAGCGAAUCCUAAUUGGGUGUUGUUAGUGGCAUGUCCUGGACCCGAAGCGGGGUGAUCUACCCAUGGCCAGUGUGAAGCAGCUGUAAGAGGUUGUGGAGGCGCGAACCCACGUAGGUUGAAAACUGCGGGGAUGAGCUGUGGGUAGGGGUGAAAGGCCAAUCAAACUCCGUGAUAGCUGGUUCUCCCCGAAAUGCAUUUAGGUGCAGCGUCGCAGUUGAGCUUUGUGGAGGUAGAGCUACUGUUUGGUUGAGCGGGACUAUCAUCUUAGCAACAUCAGACAAACUCCGAAUGCCAUGUAAGUGUUCUACGGCAGUGAGACUGUGGGGGAUAAGCUUCAUAGUCGAGAGGGAAACAGCCCAGAUCGCCGGCUAAGGCCCCUAAGGGUGUACUAAGUGGAAAAGGAUGUGGGAUCGCGAUGACAGCCAGGAGGUUGGCUUAGAAGCAGCCAUCCUUGAAAGAGUGCGUAAUAGCUCACUGGUCGAGUGGUUCUGCGCCGAUAAUGUAGUGGGGCUCAAGUACACCGCCGAAGCCGCGGCAACCAUCUUUGAUGGGUGGUUGGGUAGGGGAGCGUCGUGCAUGAGGUGAAGCAUGAGUGUGAACACGUGUGGAUUGUGUGCGAGUGAGAAUGCAGGCAUGAGUAACGAAUUGUAAGGUGAGAAUCCUUACCGCCGGAUGACUAAGGGUUCCUGGGUCAAGUUCGUCUUCCCAGGGUGAGUCGGGACCUAAGGCGAGGCCGACAGGCGUAGUCGAUGGAUAACCAGUUGAUAUUCUGGUACCCGAGUGUGUGCGUCAAUGGUAAAGCAGUGAUACUAACCAUGUUCGAGACUUAUUGAUUAUGCCUUUUGGGUGUGUUGAUAGGUUGAGUUUGUGGGGCCUGAUCUGUGGUCCAAGUGAUGGGGUGACGCAGUAGGGCAGCCACGCCGCUUAGUGGAUUGUUGGUGUAAGCGUUGAGGUUGGUGCCAUUGGUAAAUCCGGGUGCUGUAUCCAAGGCGUGAUGCAUAGCCCGUACAGGGUGAAUGUGGUGUGCUUGUGCUGUCGAGAAAAGCCUCUAGCGAGUGCAUAUUCGGCCCGUACCCUAAACCGACACAGGUAGUCAGGUUGAGAAUACUAAGGCGUUCGGGUGAACUGUGGUUAAGGAACUCGGCAAAAUGUCCCCGUAACUUCGGGAGAAGGGGAGCCUCACUGGUUGUAUAGGCUGGUGGGGCCGCAGAGAAUAGAGGGGUCCGACUGUUUAUCAAAAACACAGGUCCAUGCGAAAACGUGAAGUUGAUGUAUAUGGACUGACGCCUGCCCGGUGCUGGAAGGUUAAGAGGACCUGUUAGACCUUUUGUGGUCGAAGCGGAGAAUUUAAGCCCCAGUAAACGGCGGUGGUAACUAUAACCAUCCUAAGGUAGCGAAAUUCCUUGUCGGGUAAGUUCCGACCUGCACGAAUGGCGUAACGAGACCCCUGCUGUCUCAACCACAGGCCCGGUGAAAUUGCAGUACGAGUAAAGAUGCUCGUUACGCGCGGCAGGACGAAAAGACCCCGGGACCUUCACUAUAGCUUGGUAUUGGUGUUCGGUUUGGCUUGUGUAGGAUAGGUGGGAGACUGUGAAGUAUGCACGCUAGUGUGUGUGGAGUCGUUGUUGAAAUACCACUCUGGCUUGAUCGGAUACCUGAACCUUGGCCCAUGAUCUGGGUUGGGGACAGUGCCUGGUGGGUAGUUUAACUGGGGCGGUUGCCUCCUAAAGAGUAACGGAGGCGCCCAAAGGUUUCCUCAGCCUGGUUGGCAAUCAGGUUUUGAGUGUAAGUGCACAAGGAAGCUUGACUGUGAGAGUGACUGCUCGAGCAGGGACGAAAGUCGGGACUAGUGAUCCGGCACCUACUUGUGGAUGUGGUGUCGCUCAACGGAUAAAAGGUACCCCGGGGAUAACAGGCUGAUCUUCCCCAAGAGUCCAUAUCGACGGGAUGGUUUGGCACCUCGAUGUCGGCUCGUCGCAUCCUGGGGCUGGAGUAGGUCCCAAGGGUUGGGCUGUUCGCCCAUUAAAGCGGCACGCGAGCUGGGUUCAGAACGUCGUGAGACAGUUCGGUCUCUAUCCGCCGCGCGCGUAGAAACUUGAAAAAGGCUGUCCCUAGUACGAGAGGACCGGGAUGGAUACACCUCUAGUGUGCCAGUUGUCACGCCCGUGGCAUGGCUGGUUGGCUACGUGUAGAAGGGAUAACCGCUGAAAGCAUCUAAGCGGGAAGCCUGUUUUGAGAUGAGGUUUCGUUAUUUAGGCGCCCUAGAGAUUAUGGGGUUGAUAGGCUAGAUCUGGAAGCGUUGUAAGGCGUGGAGGUGACUGGUACUAAUUCGCCGAACUACUACAACAC
rnacentral:rRNA from 1 species